UUUUUUUUUUUUUUUUUNGGNCNNNUCNNNUCAUAUGAAUUUAUUCUACNUUAAACCCUAUUACAAAAUUUUUUCAAGUUCUUCAACAACAGCCUUAGUAAUAUCAGCGGNAGAAGCCUCACCUCCCAAAUCGCGAGUAUAAAGACCACGUCCACCAAUUGAAGUAUCAUCCAAGACCUUGCGUACGGCGGCUUCGAUAGCUUCAGCCUCCUUAGGAGCAUUCAAACCAUAACGAAGGAGAAGGGAAGCAGAUAAAAUUGUACCAACAGGAUUAACAAUGCCCUUGCCAGCGAUAUCGGGAGCGCUACCGUGAAUGGGCUCAACCAAACAAUGAACCUUUUCUUCUGAUUUUCCUACCACACCGGAAAGGGAGGCAGAAGGCAAAAGGCCCAAGCUACCAGGAAUGACAGAAGCCUCAUCUGAAAUAAUGUCACCAAACAAGUUGUCAGUCAAAACAACACCGUUAAGUGUACGAGGGCUCUUGACCAAAAGCAUGGCUGCGGAGUCAAUGAGCUGGUUUUUUAAGGUAAGGUGAGGAUAUUCCUCCUUAAAAAUCUUAGCUACAGUCUUGCGCCAAAGACGAGAAGUUGCCAAAACAUUAGCUUUGUCGAGUAAUGUGACGGGAGCAGGAGGGUUGGAAGUUUCAGCUAACCAAGCAGCCAAACGAGCAAUACGAGAAACUUCUUCCAAACUGUAAGGNCAAGUGUCCAUAGCAUAACCCCGAUCCGNUGUCCUCAGNGCGCUCACCAAAGUAACNACCUCCAGUAAGUUCUCGUACAACACAAAAAUCGACNCCUUCNACGAUUUCAGGCUUCAAAGGGCUGUACUUGACUAAGACUUGCUGGCAAAGNUGC
rnacentral:sRNA from 1 species